GUAUCAGUGUAAGGUAUUAGAUGCGUUUAGUUCUAAAGCUUUUUAUAGGCUUUCAUUUUGUUUAACAAUUCUCUGCAUUGUCGCAUCAGGCUGUCACUGCAGUGAACCUGGAGAGCCACAACUGGUGUAAAUCAGCAUCGCUCUGUGCCUUACAGUGAUUUACACCGGGUGAGCAUCUGGCUUAUUGUCUCUGACAUGAUUUUGCUACCUUGGUCAUUCCAGAUGUGACAUAAAGAAACUGAUCUGAGCCACAGCACCAGAGUUUACUAGAGAUUCAGAGUUCAGUGAAAAAUGCAGUGAGCUUAGACUCAAUGUAAUAAUAAUGCUACUUAGCCCUUAUAGCACUAAUGAUGUUUUACAAAUACUGACUAUCUGUAUGCACUAAUGGCUGGAAGAUUCAUUGCAACUAACUGAAUUUUUUGAAUGAUCGAUUUAAGAAGAGCUCUUAUAAGCUUCCAGCACAUCGCUAGAAUCAAUGGGCCUUAUUCUUAAGAGCGUGCUGAGCAGUCAACUCCCCUUGCAUGCUGUACAUCCUGUCAGAUCCCUCUCAGAUGUAAGCAGGGUCUGACUGAGUUCUUCCUGAUAGCUAGUGACGCACUAGGGGAAAAGACAUCAGGACCACACUGUAUUUGUGCGCACGCAUGCACACACACACACAUACACACACACACACACCUAUUCUACCUAGGUGGUUAGCAGAUAGACUUGCAGUGCCAAAGUAAUCAAUUUUGGCUGGGUUGGGGUUACAAUUCACUUUAGAAUUGAACGUGGGGGUAAUGAAAUGUUGUUAUCCUUCCUGCAGGAGUAAAGGACAGCAGAACUGUACUUUGCAUGCCCAGAUUGAGAUGGUCACCCUAAACUGAACCUCACUAGCUAAGCAGAGGGUAGGGAUGCCAAAUCCAACUGAAGAUGAGAUGGGUAAGGAUGGGGGAUUCUACUUGAUGGUAUGGCUGCUGCCUAAAGAGUCCCAGAUGCCCUUUGACCCUCCUUUCUCUAGUAUUUAAAGACAGAGCUGUGUGGACUCAACUGAGAGUCUUUGUUUCUGCCCCGUGAUGACUAGAGCUGAGGUUACUGAUGAGCGGGUCUAGGGGCUAAGCCUUAGACCUAGGAUGAGGACAGUGCUGCAGUGGAUGGCCCCACUCAUUGGUACGCCACCCGCUUGGCCAUAGUGGGACCAAUGGGAAAUUUAUAGGGCUCAAACUCUUAAACCUCCCAAUCCUCCAGCACCUAGGACCACUUGGUUCCCAUCACCGAGAGGACCACUGCCUUCAGAAGUCCAGGAGGAAGAGAGAGAGGAGCCCAAAGAGGCCCUUGAAAGUGAUACACUGUCACCCAUUCAUAUUUCAUCCUCAUCCCCAGAUGAAACAAUUAUGCCACCACCUCCCACUACAGAAGUUCUGGAACAGCCUUCCAAGGUGAGUAGUGGGGGCAAAAGACAUAUCUGGCUUCAAGACUAAGCUUGACUCAGUGCUUGUGAGAGGGGAAGUAUUGCCUCUUCAAGGCACCUCAGGGUGGUGAUUAGUUUUCCCAGAUUCCUGGCGGGGGACUCGAACCAGGUCUGUUUUGUAUUGUUAAGAGGCACCCCCACAGAUAUUCAACCCACCCUUGUUGCUGCCAACUCCCCUGGCAGAAGGGUUACAUAUAUAAAUGCACAUCACAGUUAUUGAUACUUGCCACAUCUAAGCACUAUGAUCCUGCCAAGUGCUGUGGAGCAAACUCCUUCCAUGGGAGACGAGGAUGCUCAGCACCUUACUGGAUGAGGCCCUUUGGCUUAUUGCUGGACACCACGGGUCUACUCUAAUAAACAAGGGAGAAGAAAAUUGUCACAUUCAACAAAGAGCUGGGAUAUAUUGCGGACCUUUCGAGCUCAUUCAAAGGCUUGUAUUGGAAGCAGGACUUUAGAGAAACAAUGGCACGUUGUCAAUAGGAUACACUGGACAUUAUUAAUAAACAUUAGGAGGCUUGAUAUGAUCUGGCAGAAGCAAUGUAAUGAAAUCAAGUACUGGAGCUGGACCGGGUGCGGGAGGAAUCUGAACAAGAUGCUUAAUGACUUACUGGACUGUGAAAUACAGUGGAGAGCCAGGUUGGAAAGGAAAAUCUUUUAAUGAAUUCAGCACAUGCACCCUUGGAAAGCUUUGCUCGCCGUUCCUCAGAAAUGUUUGACUCACCUGAAGAUCCUGAUCGUAUUAAAAAAAACCAAACAUGUUCAACGUGCUCCUAUUUCUUAACAUCUGCAAAGAACAUGGGCCAUGAGUGCCUGAUGAAAGCGCUUCCCUUGAAGGCCUCAAAGGUGGAACAAAGUGCAGGACAAUGGCUCCAGAUGGGGAAAGGCAAAUAGCCCACCGGUUGAGGAAGUUGAAAACAAUGCAAGAGACGCAUUGCUGUAGCAAAGGUUGUUACAGCAGUACAAGAAGUUUUUCCAUACCAAAGGUAAGAGGUAUGAUGUCAUCUCGAACUUGCUGGAGGAAGCCCAGUAUCAUAUGUAUGAAGACACCUUUUACAUUGUUAUUUCCUCACAUGUUUACCGUAGGCUACAUGGAUUCAUUGGUCUCUUAUCAUUAUAACCUCUUGAUAGCUCUUAGUGAGAGGAUAGGUAUGACUCAAACUUCAUGUUCUACAGUCAAACAAUACAUCAGUGUUUUCAUAAAUACUAUAUACAAAUUACAUUGAGAACAAUAGGCCUCUCCAUAUUUCCUGGGUGGAUGAAUCUGCGAUCGCAAGCCUUUUUACCCAGCAGUAAAUGCUCUGUAAGGAAUGGUACUGCAUUGGCAGAAAGACAGACUGAGAUGACUGAAUGGGGCUUUUCCAUCUCUAACUUCUAUGAUUUUAUGAUUCUGUGAAAUGAAUAUUAUCAUAACACUGACUAACAAA